GUAUUUGUGUGUAAAGAGGACACAGUGGUUUGUUUGGAAAGUGGCCCCCGCUUAGACCGGACACUUACGUGUGUACAGUGGAACCUCGUGUGUAUGGACACUUUGAGACCUCCGUCCACCAACUCAGGACUAUAGCCACCAAGACAGUUUAUUCGGGAAUGCAUUUUCAUCAAGAUCCAAUUUCAUCGUCCACCCCGAAUGGCUGUCUGAGAAUGUCGACCCUCCCCUAUCGCGACCGAUGAAUCGCCCUCCUUGGCCAUGGGAGCAGCCGAAGUACCGCCAGAACAUCAAACUAUCCCAACUUAAUGGCAAUGACACUUCAAACGUUAACAAAGCAGAUCAAAACCGAACAGGAAACGAAAAAGCAAAUGAAACUGAGCAUGUUGGUGGACAAGGAUGUGAGGUUCAGGAAAACGGAUACCUACCGGUACCCAAGUAUCCUCCAAGUCUGUACAGUUUUGGACAAAACUCAGCCUAUAUGGACGCUAAUGGAAGUACAGUUGAAUAUAACUGACCCAUUUGACAUUUAGAUAAAAUAACAAAUCUCAGCAUGGUUAUGUCAUCCACGCAAGAAUUGACCAUUAAACUUAGACUAGCAUGACAGAAACAUUACAAAAGCGUUGCUCAACAGGGACUUUUAUAUGAAGCCUAUUGCAAGACAACUAAGAAGUGUGAAGUUAUAAAUUGUAUCAAGUAACUUAUACCCGUUUCCUCAGUAAGUCUGUUCCACAUGUAUUUACAGAAAACAUAAGUAACAUAAACACCCCUUCAGUAUGUGGUCCUAUCAGUUGAUUACAUUCGCUAAUGACCUGUUAAUAAUGAGCUACGUGUCAUCAUGAAGCUACUAAAGACAAACAAGGGGCAUGAAAUCAGCAUGUACCUGUAUGCAGUAGAUAAGCUUUAGUUUUAGGGAAUUCAAACACACAUGUUUCUUGAUUUCAUUUAUAGGUUUAUUUUAAAACAGUACAUCAUGAAGGUAGAAAUAAUAUUGUGGAAAUAGAGUCUAAAUAUUCAUUAUUUAAACAAAGAGUAGUGCUAGCUAAAUCACGAUUUAGACCGAUCUCUAAAGAGAUUUAUUCCAGUACUUGCCGUGGGGUGAAGUUUUUAUUUGACCAUAUACGUUGAGCCCACCAUACCUUAAAAUUAUACCAGACUUGCUGUGAUCGUUUUGAUGACAUUUUAUAUAAAAAAAAUCACGGUAAAUGUUGAAAACUAUUUCUUAUACCAAUCAGUAUUGUUGUGUUUUUCUGUGCGUUGUUCAUCCCUUUUCUGGACUACGUAUGUUUAUGCCGAUGUUUUACUACUAUUUACUACUAGUCCGCCAUCUCACUACGAAACCAAGUCUUUUAUUUAAGUAAUAACUUCCGGUUAUCAUGUGUUAUUACCACUUAUAGGCGAGUAGACAUGUUGACUACUUUCUCGAUUGCUAUCAUAGCUUUAGUUGAAUUAGCGUUGGAUUUAGACGACUAACGUGGCUUUGUGGUUAUGAUACCUGAUUAUCCAGGUGAGUUGUUACCUUUCUACCUAUACCAGUUGUGUGCGUUUUAUGUUUAUAUGCUUUGUUUCCCUGUGUUUCUAUAUAGACUUUAUGAUAAAAUAUGUCAGUGUUAGUUUCCGUGUUGUUUAUUACAAAUCAAAACCAAGGUACUUAAUUAGGUAUACGUAGCCAUGCAACUUUCCAUUGUUUAUGAUUAUUGUCAUUAAAUAUAAAUAAUAUAAAGAUAUUUAUGGUUAUGAAACAUUUCAAUGUUAAUAAUUAUAGACAGUUAUGGUGUUGAUACCAGUUUGUAUAUCGUUAAAUAUCAAUUUUGAAACUUAAUGUUAUUUAUCAUGCUAUCAUUCAGAAUGAAAUUCUGACAGCGUUUCUCAGUAAAGCUGUUUUGUGAUAUACUGUUAGCAUGUUGAAGAAUGACAGUCACUGAUUAGACAGAUUACAUGACGAAUGGAGAGCUACACUUGUAUAUGUAUUUAGUACUAUUGAGGCAUCCCAUCACAAAAAAAACAACACGUAUAUAUAUAUAGAAGUCAUAGUUAUACUGAUGUGAAGACAUGUUGAUUAUUUUUUCUGUCUAUCAUGACACCAUACUGUUGUAAUUUCUAAGUUAAGUGAUAUCGGCUAUGACCGAGAUAUUUACCUUUUCUACAGAUCUUAGAACAGAAAACAUUUUACACUUUUUGUUUUGACAUUGUUGGCUUUUCUUCGAUUUGCUUUAUAUUUGAUGGUUAAAGUUCUGUUUUCGUUGUUAGCUUAUUGCUCUGUUGGACUGUGACACCGUAUGCUUAUUGUUGUCCCCAUUGCUCAUUAAACAGUAUUAAAGUGGUACUGCCACAUGUUAACGAGUAUUAUGUUUGGUGAAAUGUUGUACUUUGUAAUUAUUCAACUAUUUAUUCGAAAACAAAUAGAAAUAUAGUAAAUUAUAUAUA
rnacentral:lncRNA from 1 species